rnacentral:rRNA from 1 species
AUUGAACGCUGGCGGCAGGCUUAACACAUGCAAGUCGAGCGGAGAGAGGUAGCUUGCUACUGAUCUUAGCGGCGGACGGGUGAGUAAUGCUUAGGAAUCUGCCUAUUAGUGGGGGACAACAUUUCGAAAGGAAUGCUAAUACCGCAUACGGCCUACGGGAGAAAGCAGGGGAUCUUCGGACCUUGCGCUAAUCGAUGAGCCUAAGUCGGAUUAGCUAGUUGGUGGGGUAAAGGCCUACCAAGGCGACGAUCUGUGGCGGGUCUGAGAGGAUGAUCCGCCACACUGGGACUGAGACACGGCCCAGACUCCUACGGGAGGCAGCAGUGGGGAAUAUUGGACAAUGGGCGGAAGCCUGAUCCAGCCAUGCCGCGUGUGUGAAGAAGGCCUUAUGGUUGUAAAGCACUUUAAGCGAGGAGGAGGCUACUUUAGUUAAUACCUAGAGAUAGUGGACGUUACUCGCAGAAUAAGCACCGGCUAACUCUGUGCCAGCCGCCGCAGUAAAAC